UGGCGGACGGGUGAGUAACGCGUAAAGAAACUUGCCCUUUAGACUGGGAUAACAGAGGGAAACUUCUGAUAAUACUGGAUAAGUUAGUAUAUCGCAUGAUAUGCAAAUGAAAGCUACGGCACUAAAGGAGAGCUUUGCGUCCUAUUAGCUAGUUGGUAAGGUAAGAGCUUACCAAGGCGAUGAUAGGUAGCCGGCCUGAGAGGGUGGACGGCCACAGGGACUGAGAUACGGCCCUUACUCCUACGGGAGGCAGCAGCA
rnacentral:rRNA from 1 species